rnacentral:rRNA from 1 species
AUUGAACGCUGGCGGCAGGCCUAACACAUGCAAGUCGAGCGGUAGAGAGGUGCUUGCAUCUCUUGAGAGCGGCGGACGGGUGAGUAAUGCCUAGGAAUCUGCCUAGUGGUGGGGGAUAACGUUCGGAAACGGACGCUAAUACCGCAUACGUCCUACGGGAGAAAGCGGGGGAUCUUCGGACCUCGCGCCAUUAGAUGAGCCUAGGUCGGAUUAGCUAGUUGGGUGAGGUAAUGGCUCACCAAGGCGACGAUCCGUAACUGGUCUGAGAGGAUGAUCAGUCACACUGGAACUGAGACACGGUCCAGACUCCUACGGGAGGCAGCAGUGGGGAAUAUUGGACAAUGGGCGAAAGCCUGAUCCAGCCAUGCCGCGUGUGUGAAGAAGGUCUUCGGAUUGUAAAGCACUUUAAGUUGGGAGGAAGGGUAGUAACCUAAUACGUUGCUACUUUGACGUUACCGACAGAAUAAGCACCGGCU